rnacentral:misc_RNA from 1 species
AAGUCGUAACAAGGUUUCCGUAGGUGAACCUGCGGAAGGAUCAUUAUCACGUAUCCACGUAUCAACCAUUGUGAACUGUGCUUACCGUUAAAAAUUUUGGAAAGAGUGUGAUAGUAAACGUUUUUUUCGUCAAGAAAAAAGAGGUAAAAGUGAUUUGAUUUACCUUAGUUUACUGUUUACCAACAAUUUUAACGAAUUGUCUUUCUAAUUUUUGACGAGUAUUUUCAAAUCAUUUUCAUUAACAAUUUAAACCCAAUUUUAAUAAAUUGUGAACUGAAAUAAUUUCUUACUUGUUUUUUAUUAAAUGAGAAGAAAUAAUUAUUACGAAACAUAAGAACAACUCUUAGCAACGGGUAUCUUGGUUCUC